AUUGAACGCUGGCGGAAUGCUUUACACAUGCAAGUCGAACGGCAGCACGGACUUCGGUCUGGUGGCGAGUGGCGAACGGGUGAGUAAUAUAUCGGAACGUGCCCAGUCGUGGGGGAUAACGUAGUGAAAAUUACGCUAAUACCGCAUACGAUCUAAGGAUGAAAGCGGGGGAUCGCAAGACCUCGCGCGAUUGGAGCGGCCGAUAUCAGAUUAGGUAGUUGGUGAGGUAAAGGCUCACCAAGCCAACGAUCUGUAGCUGGUCUGAGAGGACGACCAGCCACACUGGAACUGAGACACGGUCCAGACGCCUACGGGAGGCAGCAGUGGGGAAUUUUGGACAAUGGACGCAAGUCUGAUCCAGCCAUUCCGCGUGCAGGACGAAGGCCUUCGGGUUGUAAACUGCUUUUGUACAGAACGAAAAGGUCUCUAUUAAUACUAGGGGCUCAUGACGGUACUGUAAGAAUAAGCACCGGCUAACUACGUGCCAGCCGCCGCCGUAAAAC
rnacentral:rRNA from 1 species